UGGAGGUUUCCGGUGCCAAUCUAUUUAAAUGUCAUGGAGGUAUCCCCUGUGUCGGUUUCCGGUGCCAAUCUAUUUAUAUGUCAUGGAGGUAUCCCCUGUAUCGGUUUCCGGUGCCAAUCUAUUUAAAUGUCAUGGAGGUAUUCCCCUGUGUCGGCUUCCGGUGCCAGUCUAUUUAAAUGUCAUGGAGGUAUCCCCUGUGUCGGUUUCCGGUGCCAAUCUAUUUAUAUGUCAUGGAGGUAUUCCCCUGUGUCGGCUUCCGGUGCCAGUCUAUUUAAAUGUCAUGGAGGUAUUCCCCUGUGUCGACUUCCGGUGCCAAUCUAUUUAAAUGUCAUGGAGGUAUUCCCCUGUGUCGGCUUCCGG